AGGUGAUGAUGACGGUGAAGAUGGCGAUGAUGAUAAUGGUGAUUUCCUACUUUGGUGUUGAUCCAUCAUCAUCAUCGUCAUCAUAUGUUCCUUG
rnacentral:pre_miRNA from 1 species